GAUGAACGCUGGCGGCGUGCCUAAUACAUGCAGGUCGAGCGAACGGACGAGAAGCUUGCUUUUCUGAUGUUAGCGGCGGACGGGUGAGUAACACGUGGAUAACCUACCUAUAAGACUGGGAUAACUUCGGGAAACCGGAGCUAAUACCGGAUAAUAUUUUGAACCGCAUGGUUCAAAAGUGAAAGACGGUCUUGCUGUAACUUAUAGAUGGAUCCGCGCUGCAUUAGCUAGUUGGUAAGGUAACGGCUUACCAAGGCAACGAUGCAUAGCCGACCUGAGAGGGUGAUCGGCCACACUGGAACUGAGACACGGUCCAGACUCCUACGGGAGGCAGCAGUAGGGAAUCUUCCGCAAAGGGCGAAAGCCUGACGGAGCAACGCCGCGUGAGUGAUGAAGGUCUUCGGAUCGUAAAACUCUGUUAUUAGGGAAGAACAUAUGUGUAAGUAACUGUGCACAUCUUGACGGUACCUAAUCAGAAAGCCACGGCUAACUACGUG
rnacentral:rRNA from 1 species